AGUCGUACGGAUGUAGCAAUACAUCAGUGGCGAACGGGUGAGUAAUGAAUCGCUAAUGUGCCCCGGACUCUGGGAUAGCUAGCCGAAAGGUUAGGUAAUACCAGAUGAUAUAUCCUUAUCGCAUGAUAGGGAUCUCAAAGGUCCGCCGGUCUGGGAGCAGGCGAUUUUGUAUCAGCUAGUUGGUGAGGUAACGGCUCACCAAGGCGAUGACGCAUAGCCGGACUGAGAGGUUGGCCGGCCACAUUGGGACUGAGACACUGCCCAGACUCCUACGGGGGGCUGCAGUAACGAAUCUUCCGCAAUGCACGAAAGUGUGACGAAGCGACGCCGCGUGUGGGACGAAGCCCUUCGGGGUGUAAACCACUGUCAGGGGAUAGAAAGUUCUGAUCAUCCCCAGAGGAAGGCACGGCUAACUCUGUGCCAGCAGCCGCG
rnacentral:rRNA from 1 species